UUUGCAGAUCAUGAGGUGGGUUCUUGGAUGCCAGAGAUUUUUGCAUUGCCUGAAAAGUCCAUGCCUUGUCCUUCUCCAGAUCAUCCCCAAGAGGCUGUGACUACAAUGACCAGGGUUUAAUAGAGAAAACAGACACAUGGCACCUGAGCGUGGCUCCCAGAUCAUAUUGGCAAGUUUGGCCCUCAUUGUCCUCCUAUCGUUGAAUCUCACCCUCUCCCCAAGGCUCCGAGGUAAGAAGAGUUCAAAGAUGAGCCCUUUUGCAGCUUCCUCACUUCCCAUGGAGAUGGUCCAUUUGAGCCCUCAGGGUCUUGCAUGGCAGAAUGGCUGUGGUUGCAGAGAUAAAGCCAAUGAAACAAAUGCCAUCAAGUCUUUCUCUAAGCUCCUGGUAAACGGAUUUACAUGCAGCAGCUAUGGAACAAACUGAAACAGUAAUUGACCUCGUGGACUGCCUCUGAUUAUUCAAGGUGCAGUAAUCUCAAGGGACCUCAUUCAUCUCUUUGCUGGAGUCUUAGCUGACUGCAGAAUAAUUACAGGGAAUUCAAGUUAAGGCUUAGAAAGAUUUGUCACUGGUCGGUGGAUACCACUGGCUUAAUACAUCUCAACACACUUAUAAUUAGUAUAAGCCA
rnacentral:lncRNA from 1 species